rnacentral:rRNA from 1 species
UACGUAGGGUGCGAGCGUUGUCCGGAAUUAUUGGGCGUAAAGGGCUCGUAGGCGGUCUGUUGCGUCAGGAGUGAAAACUCGGGGCUUAACCCCGAGCCUGCGUUCUGAUACGGGCAGGACUAGAGUGAUGCAGGGGGAGGAACGGAAUUCCUGGUGUAGCGGUGGAAAAUGCGCAGAUAUCAGGAGGAACGCCGGUGGCGAAGGCGGAUCUCUGGGCCAUUACUGACGCUGAGGAGCGAAAGCGUGGGGAGCGAACAGG